GUCACCUCCCAAAACCAGAGAGGUUAAGAGAAACCCUUCAGAGCCCAAACCCCACUGCAAGGUUUUCUUUCUCAAUCCAGAGACAGAGAAAAUCAAUAGAAAGCUGAAAAAGGCUGAAGCUUCAACUCAGGUGUUCCCAAAGACAAGGACACACCCACAGCAGACACACAACAAGGCUUAAUCUAAGGUGCAUAGUGCUGUGUCAGUUCUCAUGUUUACUAUUUUUAUGAUUGCAUCCUAAAGCAAUUGGUCUUUUGAUCCGUUAGCUGCUGCUUGGGGAAAAAAAAAUAAAGCUCGCAUAGAAAAUAACAAAAUUUUCUGGCUGGAGGCCAAAGCUUCACAAGAGAAGGCUAAGGCCUAAUAUGUUUUGUUUAAGGUCUUUGUUUCUGAUAGAUGUUGACUGGAUUCGGGAGGAUGACGGCACUUCGAACAAAGCCAGCUGGGGAAGUCAGUUCGUUAAGUAUUAACCCUCUGAGGUGUAGAUUGAACUGUGCAUGAGAAACAUUCUGAGAAAACAUCAAAAGUAGUGUAGAUCUCUUCUGAGAAGAAGUACUGUGGCUUGUAUUUAUAUCGGAAAAGGUGGAGAUGAUUUGUUGCAUAUGUGACCGAAUUCCACAGGAUGGGUAACUGUCCAGAACUCAUUUUCUCCCUGUAGCAUACUUCAGCAGUCCCAAGGCUGACAUAAGCCUAAUGUUCAGGAAUUACGUUAGGGAAUUAGUAGAAGUUAGGUAUUUAGUGUGAUAUAAAUCGUAGAGGUGAAAAAAGACUGUUGUGAGCCUGCUGGACAUGUUUUAAUAACGCAAACUAAGAUUUCACAGGUGUAAGCUGGGAGAGGAACAUUGAACUCUAUACUCUGCUUUAGAAAAUGUUAUUCUGAAAGUACUGUGAUAAAUAUUCAGAUACCUAAUGUAAAAAGAGGUUAAAAAAAAAAAAGUUUAAAAAGAAGGACACCAAGAAAACAACAAAAGAACCACCUUAUUGGGGAAGUGACUACACAGCACAUGCAGGUGUUGUGCAAACAGAGUACAGGAGAAGUUAAACACAGGCAGUGUUUAAGUACAGUGCAAUUUUGUGCUUAACUUGUGGCCAGUCUUAGCUAUAAAAUGAAAAGGAUGCAUUAAAAAUGAUUAUGAAAAUAAAAAUCCUGCCUCAAAAAACAAAGAUGGGGUCAGAAAAGAAAUUUAGAAUCAACUUCCACCAUUUGCUUGACCCGUUGCAGAUCUUUCCCUUCUUGAUGCAUUGGUUGCAGCACAGGACGUCAGCUCUCAGCAAGCAAGUGCCAAAACAGAUGUAACAGAAUGUGUAAUUGUUUAAAACUAACUGCUCACGUGUGAUGCUGGACUGAUUUUUGUUUUGUUCCCUCGUAAUUCAGUGUAUUGUCAUUUUAGGUAUCAGACUGAUAGGGAAAAGUCUUGUUGUUGCUAGGCAAGCUGUUUAAAGCUGAAUUGCUUAACAAUUAUUUUAAUAUCAGAGAUGUGUGUAUUUUUGACUUGCUAAUGCUGUAGGUGGUAUUACAGGCUUAGCAAAAGUAGCCAGCAGGCAAUACGGCGAUCAGCAGCUUGCCUUCUGAGCUUGCCCAUCAUUUGGAACUCUAGUUGCGUUGCUGCAACUUGUCUGUGUGUGUAUUGACAGCUAUUACAAAUGAUGAAAUGAAGUCAUUAUAAAGCGUGCCCUUUCCAGAAUGCUGCUUUAGUCUCCUGUCCCUACCAGGACUGAUUUAAAUUGCAGCUGGUUAUGUAAAAUGGACACUUAGAGUAUUGUUAUUGGAAAGCAUGAAGCUCAACCUUUUCAGAGUGAUCAAGAAUGCGAUUCUUAAUACGUUACAGUACGCUUCAAGAUCAAAGGCGAAAUGCACGCAUUUCGACAGGAAUUAAUGCCCCAACUCCUGCUGGUAAAGUGCCGGUUGUGUGAGAUGCCUUAGGUUGUGGGUCCUGCUGAAAAAACAAACAAACAAACCACCAAAUCAAGUGGAAUUUUGGACAUGUGUGGGCAUGCAUUGCUUAGGCAGCUAAAGUAGCAGUAACAAACAUGUGGCCAAAUGACAGCAGAGCAACAGUCCUCGACUCCAAGAAUCAAAUUGCAAAAUCAGUGUUUUAUUAUUAGUGGAAAAACCCCUUUGCAGUAACAGUUUGAAGUACUUCAUUCCAUCACUGUUUAGGUGCUUCUAAGGACAGAGAGAUAGAUGUUUUGCCAAAAAUUUGUCUGUCGAUUUAAUUUCCGGAGAUAUUUUUUCAAACUAAAUUUGAAGAAAUUUUGCUCUCAAUUCAGGAUAAUAGCAAUAAAAGGAAGGAGCUAAAAUAUGGUGUAAUGAAAUGGAUGAAGAAGCUGUAUUUUUAGUUUGGUAUUGGGUUAAAACAUGAAAUUACUAUCCAAGACUCGUUGAAUUACAGCAUUGUUAUGGUGUUAUAUUAAGGCAUUAACAACCUUUCAAAAUCUUUGGUAUUGUUUAUUAAAAAAUGAGAUGAAGUCAACUUCAAUUUAAAAUGAUCUCUAGCACUGUUCAUGCUUUAUUUUGUGUCCAAUUAUUAUGUUUAAACAUGUUUUCCUAGACGAAUAAAAUACACUCUGACUUGCAGUCUCCACUAACUUUUGCUUUUAAAGUCAAGAUUCUUGGCUUGCCUUUUGCUCAUUCCAACUUUGCAGUGUCUGUCAUGUCCUCUCUUGCAGUUCUCAUGGUCAUAAAAGCAGAAUGUGAAACUGAAGGUUAAAGAUAAAUGCUUGAGUUUAACCAAUACAGCUACUGUUGCCUUAAGGACUUACUUCUGAAGGCAGAGGUUGGAUCAUUCUGUUUCGGAGCAGAACACCCUCAGAUCAGCAGAAAGAAGCAAACAACAAGUUCCAUUUGGGAGUGCCUGCUGAUCUGUUCUCCCAGCAGGAGCUGUCAUCCUGCCCAAGAAAUCUCUGGUGGACCAUAUCAACCAGAUCGCUUUCGUCCACAUGUUUGCUGACCUCGUCAAAAAGCACUUGAGAGGCCUGGAAGGUAAAUACUAAGUUUAGAGAUUAUGUGUUGACGCUGCCCAAACAGGUCCUAUUUAUCCAACUGCACACUAAUUCUAGCCCUUAUUGCUGUUUCUGCAACUUUGCGUGGUUCAAAGUCCUGGUGGCCUUCAGCAUCAUCCACCUUGUCUCCCUCCCUUUUGCCCCCAGAACAAUUUUAGAAAUUGGUGUCACACUGCUGCUCUCUGUGCUCAGAGAAAGCUUGAAGAGAAAGUUUACAUGCUGCCAUUAGCAGCUACUUACCCACGCUUCCCUAUGAAGCUCAGGUGCCUAGCAUAUUUCCUGGGGAUUUCUGCUCCUCAUGUUUUAGGUUCCAGCUGUUCUCAAUAGGCUCAGGUUCAGGCAGAGGCUCUGCUGACUCUCUCAGAAAUAAGGGUUCAAGUACAGGAAUCACCUGCUUAUUGCAGUGUGUACAUGCAUAUGCCUGUCAUGUGGUUUUCUCUAUAAAUGUUUUGGCCUCUCUUCUCUUUUAUUCUGCAGAUGUCUUUGGUCCACCAGACUCCAGUGGUCUUGAUCUUGGUCUUGAUGUAUCUGGAAAGGAUUUAAUAUUAGCUUUGAUUUCUCUUGCUAGGUGCUGUUCACGGUUUUUAUUGCUCUGUCACUGUGUUUUCCUUUUCAUGUAUCAGUUUGUGAUUCUGGCCUUUGGUUUUUCAUUUGGAGAUGAAUUCAACUUCUUGCUUAUGAUAGCCUGUCUUGUGGUCACACUGUCCUGUGUCUGCUUUCUUUUAGUGCUUCUCAAGACGUUAGCAGCUGUGCUGCAUAUCCUUACCAUUUCAAGCUGCUCCUUUCUGUUUCCUUUUCACAAGUUUUGUCAUGUCUGUAUCUCUGUUCUUUCUGAAGCUGGGUGUAGCCGCUGUAAUGCUUGGACUUUGUUAAACCUGGGGAAUUCUGAAUGUAAGUACCAGAACAGCAACCCCAGCCAUAAGUGGAAGAUCUAGUGGAAGAUCUUGCUCACUAAUGAGGACCAAGUGAAAGACUCUCCCAUGACUUCCUUGUCCAACUGCUCUGUGAAAUUACAUUUAAUGGAGUCAAUGAUUGUUACCCAAAGUACUGUUUCUGCAGAUUCAGCACAAUGUACACUUAAAGCUAGCAUUUCAGUCCAUGCAGAGCCCGUGUCACCUGGUGGGCUUUUGCUAUGUUCCUUCGAUCUCAGCGAUCACUGGCAAAAAUCCCUACCUUAUACAGCUAGAGUGACUCUUGUGUUUUCCAUUUAUUUUAUGUCUGGUACUGUGAUGUCCAAUCUGCCUGGUAUGCCACUGUCUUCAUCUAAAAUUUCCCUCCCUCAUUUUUUUCUCUGUUUUUGUAUCAUUUUUAUUGUUGUUGGUGUCCUUUCUUUCCUCAUUUCCUAUUUAAAAGGCACUCUGUCCAUUUUCCACUCACUAUUUCUGUACUCUAGCCUCUUCUGCAGUCAACAAAAGCAGAAUUUCUAUGCCUUUGCUCACGGCAAACUGCUGCUUCGCCAUAAUGGCUGCUCUUCAAUUUAUAGCUCAGUCGUAUUCUUCAUGACUUUAAGUGCCAGCGGUGUAGACCCCAGUAAGUCCAUCCUCUCCACACAAGCUCUUUUAAUCCCAGAUGUGCUCCACAUCAAUCUGAAAUGUUGCUCUUUUUACCAUCCUCUUAGUGACACUUUGAAAAUUUGCUUCUUGCUAGUCACACACACAGGGCAGCGGGGAUAGCUCUGUUGGGGAAGGUCUCAUCCGUGUUGUCCUCCAGCAAAGUGAAUUUUCCUCCAGAGGCAUGUGAAAAGAUAAACCACAGCUUCCUUCCCCUCUUAGAGAAUUGAGUCCCUUCCUCUUUUAGAGUAGUGACUGGCUUUGCAUGGGUAAGAACAAAAAGAGCCCCAUCAGUCAUUUAAUUUCAAAAGCCCUUCUACCCAAACAAGUUUUUAUUUCCUGAAGAACAGUGCCCAAAUUAUAAUUGAUGAACUUUUAAAUCAUCCCACCAAACUUUUUUUUUUUUGCAUUAAGUUUGUUGUGUUACCAAAUAUUAUUUUAGUAGCCAGAUCCCACAAACAUAUUGUGAAAAUGAUCUUACAUUACAACAGAAAAUAGCUUUUGAGAAGAUACUGAAUGUAUUAAUUGUCAGUAGAUCUACAAUACCGAGGCACAGUUUCCAUUAAAAAUUUAGGUUUCUGCAGUGUCAGAAACCUUUACUUAAAGUGCCGCAAAAAUGUAUCAUUUGACUCUCCCUUUAGGGUCUUUAGCAGUCCUCCAAAUGUUAAAGCACUGCUUUUAUUAUUUUGUUGUUGUUCCAAGUGCACAUACAAAUCCCAGCAGGAAUCAGGGCCAAACCAACACACACAGAAGACGUUCCCCUCCAUAAAGAGAGAAGAUGCAGCAGAGUGGACGUGUCCACAUGCCCUUCUUUGUCCUGUUUCUCAAUCCUGUUUCUAGUAUUUCAGGAGGCUUUGUCUAAUCUGAGUUUGAAUAUGCAGCAGGACAGAACUUGGCAGUCACUUUUGAGUAAAAAGAAGGCUCGUAUUACAAUGAAGGUUUGUAAUUCCUUUUACGAAUUCUGGAAAUUACCUACUGUGUUUCUGUGUACUGGGAGAAAGAACAUUCUAAAAUGCUGUAGUAACAUCAAACAUAUUUUUCUUUAAAUGCUGAAACUUGAAGAGAGUAAGGAUUCCUAACAAUAACAGACCCGUCAAGCCCAACUAAGAACUCAGAACCUUGGAACACGUGCAAGAGGUUCGUGUAGAUUGUUAAAGAAAGGUAAAGAAUAUGUAAAAAUUCAGAUUGUGUGGUUUCAUCAUAACCUGAUUGUAACAAUGACCGUUUCAUAACAUGUUAGAAGGGUAGGCUGCUGCAACAAGAAAUCUGAAGAAACAGUAAAGAUAUGCUGUUUUUCUUUCUGUUCCCAUUUCGCUAAAAGCUAAAAAUUCAUUAAAGCCCACAAAAGCCAGAUAAAACAGCAAGCCAGCAAAUGGGGUAAGUGUCCACAAAACAAAAAAAAAAAGACCAUCCAGGUGGAGUUAAUGCAACAAAAAAAUAACCAGAGUAUUGCUUAAGGAUUUUCUCUGAUCUCUCUGCACCCAGAUCAGUUGCUGGAUGCUUCAUACCUCCCUUUCAGUUUUACUGUUUGUUUUUCCAUGGCCACAUAUGGAAUUAACCAAGCCAAACUUUCUUUAUGUGUCGAAAAAGAAUCAUUUGGCUUUUGGCCAUACUUACGGUAUUAGUUGAAGUUCUCUGAGUUUCUGUUUCAUUAAAGUACCUUUACACAUGCCCAGGGUUGGUAUUUUAAAGGGCUAACAGGCUCUCUACUAAAACCAGAGACAUGUUUUAAUACCAAACGUAUAAGCAGAACCUAGGUAGGAACAAAAUAUUUUCUCCUCCAGCAAAUCUCUCAAGCCCUCAUCUGUUUUGCUUUGUUGUGUUUCCUGUGAAGUCCUGGAUAUUGCAAGCACUGAUGUUGCAAGGUGGAAAAAGUAAUAAACAACUCUUGUUCCCUGUUUAGAUGUCCCAGUUUCAAAGUCACUUCUGAGGGGACCAGAGAGGGCAAGAAAUUACCAUCUCCAAUGCCUCUUCCCACUCCUGGGAGAUGCUGGAAGUAGCAAAUCCUUUUUCAGCAUUCCCUUUGUGCUCACUGCCACGUGGAUGCUUUCAACCCAGCCAGAAAAACCAGAUUACAAAGUGUUGUUUGUAAAAGAGGGAGGAAGUCUGCUCAGGCAAAGUACCUAUUAAGUAUGGUGAGCAGAAGUGAGAUUGAGGUGGAGAUUUAUGGAUAGACAGGUGUUGACGCUUUCUGCAGGUAAUGCUAUUGUUAAAAACAUAUGGGUGCUAUAAACAUAUGGGCAUGAAAGCAAAGAAGAUAUCUGUUGAUGAACAAGAAAGACUGCUAGAAAUAAACAGCUCUUAGUCAUGAUGUUGGCACCUCCAAAGGCUUUUUGAUUGUAAAGGCAAAGUCAUCUGCUUGGAAGCAGGAGGAAAGGCUGCUGUUGUAGAGUCUCCCUGCACCUGAAGUUCUCUAUCUGUUACUCUAUAGGAAUGCUUGAAGUCUGUUCUGCUGUGUGUGCUGCUCUGCAGUGAGCUGUAGUUAUGGAUGGGGACAGGAAACAUUUGUGGUUUGCAAUACAGAAACUGUUCACCUGUUAUGCUGUGAGUACAUUCAAAGAGCAGUUCACAUCAGACGCAGAAGCCUCAUCCAUAAUGCCAGCAUGAAUCCUUUUAGAAAUAGUCUUUGACACUGCUUUAAUUUUUAUAAGCUUUCUACAGAACACUGUAGAAGAUUCUUAAAGGUUAUCAUAUGACACAAACGCAGAUAUUAUUUCCUAUGCUAUUUCCUCCUCUAUACUGGUUUGUUGGUUGGUUUUACUGGCCUUGUUUGCUUCGUUGGUUUUGCUUUCAUUUGCAAAGUAAUCAUUCCAGGUACAACCAUCUACCUUGAGGAAUUACUUUCUCAUUCUCCUUUGCAAAAUCUGGUGUAAUAAAAACAGGAAAGACCUUCUUCUAUAAGUGAGAGGCACGUUAUUUAGGUGGGAGGGCAAGCGAGUUCAACAGAGAGAAGGCUGUUUGAAAUACUGCCUUUGAAAGCUGGCUUCCUUAGGAAGAGAUGUGCAGAAACCAGGCACUGUCAGUAGUGGGGGACAGCGCGGCAUCAGAUUGCACAGCAUUUGCUUAGACAAAUCACACAGAGCCCAAGCCCACCAAUGGGUUAACAACCACAAUUUACUUAGCUUUUAGCUGAUCAUUUCCACAGAACAUUGUCCUGCAAUUUUUUUUAAUCAUGGUAGAAGGAUAAAAAAGAAAGAAACAAACAAAAAGUACGUGUUUUUUUUUUUUAAUGUCCUUGAUAUAAAAAGUAGUAAAACUACUAUAUGUACGGUAUAUGGCUUUCAGUAACUUUCUGUUUUUGAACUUCUGUCAUCAAAGCAGAGCUGCCUUAAUUGUGCUGGUUCAGUAAAGCAGGUGUACAGAUCUGAGUCUGUAUAUCCUCACCUGUCUGCUGCUUGGCUGGGGAAGAAGGGAACUAUGCAUUUUGCUGUGUUCACUCAGUUCCUGGUCAGGCAACACCCUCGCUCCUGCCUUCCCCGGGUGGCCAGAUUCCUGCAUGAUGGGCACAUCUGAAACACAUAAAGCAAGCUGCGUGCUGCCCUUCCCAGCUCAGUGAAGAUCUAAUGUUUCUCUCCCUGAAUGACUUCUCCUCUAAGUCUAAUCAAAAUAGAUGUUUCAUAGCCAAAAUGUUUUUUCCUUGCAACUUUGCAAGUGCUUUCUUGCACAGCUGGGGUUGCAGCCUUUCCAGGUCAGCAAUGAAUCACUGAAUCUCAAGCUACAACCAGGCACAAUUUUAUUUCACAUACUUUCUGUCGGCUCUCCUUCUUUCUCUUCCCCUCCUUCGGGCCAACUGGUCGCCCUUCUCUUUGUUGCUUUUAUUUUUGGUUUCUGCAACUUCCUGUGCUCAGCAUCAUCAUUUUCUCAGCAGCAGCUAUUUCAGCUGCUCCCAACCCCAUUUCCUCCCCCUUCUCUGGCACAACUGGAUCAGCUCACUGCAAUUUUAUCUUCCAGUGACUUGAAAACGCCAACUCUUAGAAAGCACUGAAGCAACUGGGACCUGUGGGCAUGGCCUGCUGGCACACCCUAUGGGGGAUGGCCUGUGGGCAUGGCGGGUGCUGUCAGCAGGGCCCUGCAGCCCUCACAGCACAACGCAGCCCAUGGCCAUGCUGCUGGGAGGGCUGAGGGGUGGCAUAUGCAAACUGUGAUGUAAUCCAAUUUCCGUUCUUUUACUUCGACGUCUGCUAUUAUUGGUGCUCCUUUUCUUCUAUCGCUUUUUAAAAACUUUUAACUCUAAUUGCCAUAUAUUAAUUAGCUCAGGUUUGUCAAUUUUUCACUCUUUGUCCUCUUGGAAUUUUCACUCCAUUUCCUUUUGAUUUUAGUUACUUUUUUGUUACUUUUCUUGGAUUCUGUUGGAGUAAUUAAGUCAGCUUCUCCUUUUUUGUUCUUUAUUUUCCCCCAUUUUGCAAGGCUUUUUUCCUCACUCCAC